GGGAAGUUAGAAAUGGAUGUGUCUUCGGUGAAGGGGGAUGUAACAUUAUUGAAAGGGGAAGUGACAACCAUGAGUGGGCGGUUGGAAUAUAUGGAGAGUCAAAGGAACUUCUGCCCUACUACUACUCAACACUACCAUGUUUCUUUAAAUGGACAUGACCAAAACACUUUCGCUACCAUUUCCCCCGAAACCUCACAUCCCAUGCUCAAUCUACCAAGACCGCCACUAAAUGCCGCAAUCCUAG
rnacentral:lncRNA from 1 species